GAUCUGGCUCAGGACGAACGCUGGCGGCGCGCCUAACACAUGCAAGUCGAACGGAGAAAUGCUGAGCUUGCUUUGCAUUUUUUAGUGGCGGACGGGUGAGUAACACGUGAGCAACCUGCCUUUGUGAGGGGAAUAACGUCUGGAAACGGACGCUAAUACCACAUAACGUCAAGGAACCGCAUGGUUUUUUGACCAAAGAUUUUAUCGCACAAAGAUGGGCUCGCGGCUGAUUAGCUAGUUGGCGGGGUAACGG
rnacentral:rRNA from 1 species